GACGAACGCUGGCGGCGUGCCUAAUACAUGCAAGUAGAACGCUGAAGGAGGAGCUUGCUCUUCUGGAUGAGUUGCGAACGGGUGAGUAACGCGUAGGUAACCUGCCUGGUAGCGGGGGAUAACUAUUGGAAACGAUAGCUAAUACCGCAUAACAGUAGAUGUUGCAUGACAUUUACUUAAAAGGUGCAAUUGCAUCACUACCAGAUGGACCUGCGUUGUAUUAGCUAGUUGGUGGGGUAACGGCUCACCAAGGCGACGAUACAUAGCCGACCUGAGAGGGGGAUCGGCCACACUGGGACUGAGACACGGCCCAGACUCCUACGGGAGGCAGCAGUAGGGAAUCUUCGGCAAUGGACGGAAGUCUGACCGAGCAACGCCGCGGGAGGGAAGAAGGUUUUCGGAUCGUAAAGCUCUGUUGUAAGAGAAGAACGAGUGUGAGAGUGGAAAGUUCACACUGUGACGGUAUCUUACCAGAAAGGGACGGCUAACUACGUG
rnacentral:rRNA from 1 species